CUUAAACAUUCCCAUGAAAGCAGAGCAGAUGAAAGUCAUCUUAUAUUAUAUUUUUAGGCUGUUUCUUAGUUUUCCCCAAUCAUACAUCUGACCUCAUUUGGAACAAAAAAAUGUUGUAUUUCAGGUGGCUGAUGCAUCUCUUUAAAUGUAUUUUGUGAUUUCUUACAGAUUCUUCUGACAUUUCAGUACUAUUCAGGGCAUUGAAAGCAGAAUUUCACUGAUGCCAUUGUCUUUG